UACGGGGGGGGCAAGCGUUGUUCGGAAUUACUGGGCGUAAAGGGCUCGUAGGCGGCCAACUAAGUCGGACGUGAAAUCCCUCGGCUUAACCGGGGAACUGCGUUCGAUACUGGAUGGCUUGAGUUCGGGAGAGGGAUGCGGAAUUCCAGGUGUAGCGGUGAAAUGCGUAGAUAUCUGGAGGAACACCGGUGGCGAAGGCGGCAUCCUGGACCGACACUGACGCUGAGGAGCGAAAGCGUGGGGAGCAAACAGG
rnacentral:rRNA from 1 species